rnacentral:rRNA from 1 species
GAUCCUGGCUCAGGAUGAACGCUAGCUACAGGCUUAACACAUGCAAGUCGAGGGGCAGCAUGAAGUUUGCUUGCAAACUUUGAUGGCGACCGGCGCACGGGUGAGUAACGCGUAUCCAACCUUCCCUAUACUAGAGGAUAGCCCGGCGAAAGUCGGAUUAAUACUCUAUGUUCUUCGUAGAAGACAUCUGAAAUGAAGCAAAGGUUUACCGGUAUAGGAUGGGGAUGCGUCUGAUUAGGUUGUUGGCGGGGUAACGGCCCACCAAGCCUACGAUCAGUAGGGGUUCUGAGAGGAAGGUCCCCCACAUUGGAACUGAGACACGGUCCAAACUCCUACGGGAGGCAGCAGUGAGGAAUAUUGGUCAAUGGACGAGAGUCUGAACCAGCCAAGUAGCGUGCAGGAAUGACGGCCCUAUGGGUUGUAAACUGCUUUUAUACAGGGAUAAAGUGCACUACGUGUAGUGUUUUGUAGGUACUGUAUGAAUAAGGACCGGCUAAUUCCGUGCCAGCAGCUGC